AGAGUUUGAUCCUGGCUCAGAAUCAACGCUGGCGGCAUGCCUAACACAUGCAAGUCGAGCGAGAAAGGGUAGCAAUACCUGAGUAAAGCGGCGCACGGGUGAGUAACACGUGGAUAACCUGCCUCAAAGUGGGGAAUAACACCGGGAAACCGGUGCUAAUACCGCAUAUUCUGACGAGAUCUGCGGAUUUUGUCAGGAAAGGAACAAUUCGCUAUGAGAGGGGUCCGCGGCUGAUUAGCUAGUUGGUGAGGUAAUGGCCUACCAAGGCGACGAUCCAUAGCUGGUCUGAGAGGGCGGACGGCCACACUGGGACUGAGACACGGCCCAGACUCCUACGGGAGGCAGCAGUGGGGAAUUGUUCGCAAUGGGCGCAAGCCUGACGACGCAACGCCGCGUGGAGGAUGAAGGUCUUCGGAUUGUAAACUCCUGUUGCUCGGGACGAAAUGCUCUGACCUAACACGUCAGAGUUUGACGGUACCGAGUGAGGAAGCCCCGGCUAACUCUGUGCCAGCAGCCGCGGUAAUACA
rnacentral:rRNA from 1 species